rnacentral:rRNA from 1 species
GGCGGCGGUUCUCUCCCCUUCUUCGACGGACGCGCGCCGUCAGUGGCCUCUCGCUAGUUGGUGCCAAUCGCCGUGGUGGGGCGAAGCAGAGUGCUUCGGGUGGGAAGGCCGGUAGGAUGGGGGCUUCGACGAGGUCGAGCCGCCCGUCGCCGGUCGGGGCCGUGGGCCGCUCCUUCCUUCCCACUUCCCCAACCUGGUGCUUGUUGGUUGCUGACUCGGUGUUCUGAGGCGGGACGGUCGUUGCAGUUUUCGGCGAUGGUUGGGGUUUGCACUGGCCAAAGCUUGCUCCUUUGAUGAUUCCAG